rnacentral:tRNA from 1 species
UUAACUGAAAAACAACUUUUUAGUUACGUAAAAGAAGCACGACGUCUAAAAGGGUCGACCGGAUCUGUGUU